AUCCAAGAGGCUGCCACCUCGGUGAGCUAGUGCAAGCCAUCCACAAGGAGGAGAGGAGGACUAACCUUUGAUCAGACCUUUGAAAACAAGAUUCACACAAGUGCCUCCAUAGAUCUCAGCUUGGCAACCACAGGGCAUUUGGACUCAGAACAUUCACUGCCUCAGGGGACAGAUGACCCACCAGAAGUUAGAAGUUGGUUCUUGUCUUCUGAGUGUCAAACACUGAUGCCUGUUGCCCAUCGAAACUGAUGAGCAGACUAAGGUCCAGAGUGAAGUGACUUGCCCACCCUCAGAGACCUCCUGGAAUAAUCAUUGCUAACAUAACAGAGAACCUAACCCUGUGCCAGACGCUGUUCCCUCAAUAUCAAUGAACACAUUUCCUUCUCAUGACAACUCCAAGAGCCAGGGAGGGGGCAGUGAUUACCCCCAGUUCACAGAUGGGGAAGCCCGAGGCCCAGACAGCCAAUCCCUUUUGAGCUGGAGGAACCCUCAGGCCUGAAGACCAGCUCUCAAAGACCAAGAGAGGGUAGGGAGUCCAGGGAUAAGUACCUGGACCCAGCAAACUGGCCAGCGGUUGCAGACUGGAGGCACUUGGACAAAGUCUGUCCCACAGGCUUCAAGCUUGCUGGCUGGAGAUCAUUUACAGAAAGGUCUUUGGGAAUUAACACAUCCCUGUGGCCAGGGAAUUCAGUUUGCAAUUGAGAAUGAAGAGAUGCUGUGCUUAACACAAUGGAAAAUGUGCUAAUGGUGGACUUGCUGGCAUUGGACAGUGGCUAGGUCACCAAUAAAGAGUGAACCUGCAAAAUCCAUCCUCAACCCCAGGAUCCUCUUUCUCUCUCUCUCUCUCUUUUCCUGUGACCUUACCCUGUGGCCCUG